UACGGGGGGAGCAGGCGUUGUUCGGAUUUACUGGGCGUAAAGAGCGCGCAGGCGGCUGGUCAAGUCCGAUGUGAAAGCUCCCGGCUUAACUGGGAAAUUGCAUCGGAAACUGAUCGGCUGGAAGGUGGGAGAGGGUAGCGGAAUUCCCGGUGUAGUGGUGAAAUGCGUAGAUAUCGGGAGGAACACCAGUGGCGAAAGCGGCUACCUGGCCCAUUCUUGACGCUGAGGCGCGAAAGCUAGGGGAGCAAACGGG
rnacentral:rRNA from 1 species